rnacentral:tRNA from 2 species
GCGCCUAUAGCUCAGCUGGAUAGAGUGUCUGACUACGAAUCAGAAGGUCGGGAGUUCGAAUCUCUCUGGGCGCACCA